AGGAGGAACAACCCCAGUGGCAGAGGCCAGCUCUGGAAACCUGGAUUCAGCCCCUGCAGGAACUCCGGAGCUCUUGUCUGCAGGGCCUGGUGGCUCCGGGGUGGG
rnacentral:pre_miRNA from 1 species